rnacentral:rRNA from 1 species
GACCCGUCUUGAACCACGGAGUCUAGCAUGUGCGCAAGUCAUUGGGAAUAAAACAUUUUUUCAUCGGAAUGUAUAUAAUUUGUAUGAAACCCAAAGGCGUAAUGAAAGUGAAUAUUAUUAAUUGUUUUGCGGAAUUUAUUUUUAUGUUGCAAAUUAAAUAAUAAAGGGAAGAUAUAUUUGUAUUAUGUAUUAAAUAUCGCACUCCCGGGGCGUCUUAUAUUACUAUAUAGAUAUUAAUUUGUAGUUUGUCUCGUGUGUGUGUGUGUGUGUCCCUUGUGCAUUCUCGCACGCGCGCACGCUCUACAGAAUAUAAUGUUCUAUAUAGUAGAGGCGCACCUAGAGCGUACACGCUGGGACCCGAAAGAUGGUGAACUAUGCCUGGUCAGGACGAAGUCAGGGGAAACCCUGAUGGAGGUCCGUAGCGAUUCUGACGUGCAAAUCGAUCGUCGGAACUGGGUAUAGGGGCGAAAGACUAAUCGAACCAUCUAGUAGCUGGUUCCUUCCGA